GGCCUCAUCGUCUAGUGGUUAGGACACGGCCCUUUCAAGGCCGCGGCAUGGGUUCGAGUCCCAUUGGGGUCA
rnacentral:tRNA from 1 species